GGAAUGAAUAGGGACAGGCCAGCAGAACAGGUACCAGGACAGGAACAGGGACAUUGAUCACGUCAUUAAGAUAGGUUCAGCCAAACUCAGCAAACUGCUUAAAGAAGCUCAUACUGAAAGUCGCUGGAAAUUGGCACACCAGAGCUGGAAAGAAGCUCAAGCUGAGAGAAGCAGAGCCUUGCACAUAACUG